rnacentral:rRNA from 1 species
UCCAGACUCCUACGGGAGGCAGCAGUGGGGGAUAUUGCACAAUGGGGGGAACCCUGAUGCAGCGACGCCGCGUGGGUGAAGAAGCGCCUCGGCGCGUAAAGCCCUGUCAGCAGGGAAGAAAAUGACGGUACCCACAGAGGAAGCAUCGGCUAACUCCGUGCCAGCAGCCGCGGUAAUACGGGGGAUGCAAGCGUUGUCCGGAAUCAUUGGGCGUAAAGAGUUCGUAGGUGGCACGUUAAGUCUGGUGUUAAAUGCAGAGGCUCAACCUCUGUUCGGCACUGGAUACUGGCGAGCUUGAAUGCGGUAGAGGUAAAGGGAAUUCCUGGUGUAGCGGUGAAAUGCGUAGAUAUCAGGAGGAACAUCGGUGGCGUAAGCGCUUUACUGGGCCGUAAUUGACGCUGAGGAACGAAAGCCAGGGUAGCAAAUGGGAUUAGAUACCCCAGUA